rnacentral:lncRNA from 1 species
CAAAAGUUUCCAGUACAAUUUAAUAUUUCCUCCAAUUAUUAAUAAUUAACUCUAAAAUUACAAAGUUAAAAGAAAAACCCUAUUCCCUUUAUAGUCGACUGCCUGAAUAUCAAUCGCACCUCUGUCAUUUUUAUGAUAGCGAGUCUCCAUCUUCAAAGCCCACAGGUAUAUCAAUUUGCACAUCUUCCAUAUUCACCUUAGCGUUUCCUUAUUCACAUAGCUCUGCCCUAUUCUACAUCUUCAUGUAUAAAUUCUCUCUUUUAGAAUCUCAUGUACAUCACGCAGCUCUUCCCUGCUCUCCAUCUUCACGUAGAAAUUCUAUGUUUCAGAUUUUUCAUAUCAUGUUCUUAUUGAAACGAAAUCCUAUCACAUAAUAGCUGGCAGAACAUUUGGGUUAACUUUUGUUAACUACAUGAAUAAGAAUUGAUUUUGGAAUUCAUAUGAAGUUUGACGGUUUCUCAAUUUUCUUUUGUAUUUACAUUUUUCUGUAGGUUUUGACAGAAUUAAUAGUAUCGUACACUUUGAUGUCUUCAUCGGAUAAAGAUUCUACUUUCCAGGUAAUCGAAAAAUUGAUGUGAUUUCUUAUUUUGUAAACAUAGUUAUAAUGUGUUUACGAAGUAUGUUGUGUGAUUUAUGUCUACUAUUUAUUUGUUGGGCAAUUGAUUGAUAUGUUUGAUAUGUUUUUUGUUAAUGUAUUAAAUUCUCGUGAUUAUUAUUUUAAAUCUAAAACAGAACAUCAAACCAAGUUUUGUAGUACGUUGAUGCGUAUGUUCCAAUUGAGGAUGUUAUUAUAUUGGAAUUAAAUUUCAUAUCGAUUUCGGGAUUUAAUUGAAAAGGAAUGUUUGAUUCUUAAGAUUGUUUCUCUACGUUUAGAAACUGAGAACUGCUGCUUGUUUCCCUGUUGAAGAACUAGAAACCAAUGCGAAUCGAUGAAAUUUCAUUACUUAGUAUGUGAUAGUACUCUUUUACAACUAUAUAUUUUGUGCAAUUGGUAACUUGAAAAAUACAUUGUUCAUUGCUAAACUUUUUAAUAGUCGUCAUAAAUUAAAAUCUUUCAGUUUUUUUCUCUUAUAUUCUUCUUUUUUUCUCUGUUUCUCUGUAGCGCGCCGCUAGCUGCUAUAAGUUUUUUUUUCAACACACUGUCUGCAAAUUUUUCUAUUUUUCAUUCUGAUCUUCUGGAUGGAGUUGUUAGAAAUAAUUUAUGAAAUGAGUUAUAUUCUUGCGAAUAGAGCUGAAAAUUAUAUUUUGAAGUGAGAAUAUGUUUUAAGUAUUAGAUUUCAAUAGAAAGUUCAUUGAGUUGAAGAAAGGGAACUAGAUCAGUUUGAGCUAAGAAAAAUAAAAUAUAGCUACACUUCUAUCCAAAUACUAUUACUAUUGUGGGAAAACUCUCGAGUAGCAUUCUCAAAAGUGAGUUUUUUUCUCGCUUAAAGUGAGAAGGGAAGUGAAGUUGUAUCAUACUUUGUUUUUUAUGUCUUUUCAUGUCCUGUCUCUAUUUCACGACUUUAUUUUUGUAUAGUUGUAUCACUGUUUGUAAUAUCAUGAAGAUUGUAGCUUAGCUAGAAUUACUUCUAGAAUUUUGUAUAGCCUAACUAACCUCAACCAAUCAGUCUUAGGCAUCAGAAAAAAAAUUCUGCUCCUUCUCAUGGUGAUUAUAAUGAUCAUAUGUGUUUUUUAUGUGUCUAAACAUUGUGCAAUUAACCUUGACCUGAAAUUAUGUUAUCAGAUUGUGAUGCAAUGACUUUUCCUCAUCUAAUCGAUAUGUUGGCCUUGAAUUCAUUUUUCCUUUCGAAUACGACAUACUGACUAGGCCUGUAAAGUAUCUCAUCGAACCAGAAAUUGGUCCCCUGUAGGCUUGAAGUAGAGUUAGUUUUAUUGAUAGGUUUUCUUUGAAUAGCUGUUUAUUAGCAUUCUAAUUACUUAAGUCACUCCUUACACAGUGCGUCCUAUCCUUUCUCUGUUUUAAACUAUCUGCAUCACCAUGAAUUUUGCAUUUUUUAAUUGAGAUUACUCAUGGUUAUGCCUUGACAACCAUUGAAAGUUACCUUAAAGUCAUCUGCAUUGCUUCCGAUUGCUGAAGUGUUGUUAGUUCUGUCUAUAUGUUCUGUUGAUAUAGCUGAGUAUUAGUGGUCAGAUUACUCAUAGUAAUACUUAUAAACCUCAUCCCCUGAUUGUUUUGUUUAAGAUAAUUUAUAUUUCAUUGCUUCUGCACUUAAUUGAGAUAACUGCUCCCCUCUAGGCCAGUGCAAUAGCUCAUCGAACGAGAAAUUGGUCCCCUCAAGGCCUAUGGGCGAGUUAGUUUUAUCGAAUGAUUUUGUUGGUAUAGUUGUGUAUUAAUGUUCUAAUUACUUAAGCUACUCCUUACACAGCCCGUCCCAUUUGUUCUCUGGUUUAGACUAUCUGCAUCGCCAUGAAUUGUGCAUUUUUCAAUUGAGACUACUCAUGUUUCUGCCUUGCCAGCCCUUGUAUCUGCAUUGCUUCCAGCCGUUGAAGUGUUGCUAAAUCUAUUUAUGAGUUCGGUCAAUAUAGUUGCAUACUAGUGGUCCAAUCACCCGAAGUAAUCCUUAUACGCCUCAUCCCCUGAUUACUUUGUUUAAGAUAAAAUAUAUUUCAUUGAUUCCGCAUUUUCUAAUUGAGAUAACUGCUCCCCUCUAGGCAUGUGAAAUAGCCCAUCGAACCAUUAAUUGGUCCCCUCUAGACUGAAGUCUAAUUAGUUUUAUUGAUCGGUUUUGUUGGUGUAGUUGUGGGUUAGUGUUGCAAUUACUUAAGUUAUUCCUUACGUAACCUAUCCCAUCCUUUCUCUGUUUCAGUCUAUCUGCAUAACCAUGAAUUUUGCAUUUUCCAAUUUAGACUACUCAUGUUUAUGUCUUGUCAACCCUUGCAUGUUAUCUCAAAAUCAUGUGAAUUGCUUCCAACCGCUAAAGUGUUGUUAGUUCUAUUUAUAAGAUUAGUUGAUAUAGUUGUACAUUAGUGGUUUGAUUACGAAGUAAUCUUUAUUAACCUCAUCCCCUGAUUUCUUUGUUUAAGAUGAUUUAUAUUCCAUUGCUUAUGCAUUUUCUUAUUGUGAUCACUAUUGUUGAUGACUUGCAAGACCCUUGAAUUUUAUCCCAAAUUCAUCAAUAUUGUUGCCAGCCCUCGAAAAUAAGUUUGUUUUCUUGUUGGUAAUAGUGAUAUGCAGUCUAUGAUAAAGUAAUUUUAUCCAAAACAAAGUCAUUUAAUCAAAAUACAAGAAUUUAGCUAGAUUGUAGAAUCAUUUUAUGAAGUAUAACCAACAAAGUUUCUCAUAUGCAGAAACUCAUAAACUGUAAGUGGGACUUUACAGUUCAUUAAAGACCUAUAAGAAACAUUUAAAGGCAGUGAAUGACCUAAAUACAAUAGGAAAUUUUGGCAGCAAACUGAGACAAAGACUUGGAUGAUUAACAACCAUUUAGAUAUGGAUCAACCAAUCUUGACUAUAUUGUGCAGCCGUGGAAUAGCCCAUCGAACAAGAAACUGUAGGUUUUGUUGGUAUAGCUGUGUAUUGGCAUUGGUAAGGAGCAGUCCAAUGCAAUUUCAUCAUCUGCAGUCGCUCUAUCCCUUACUGAAAUUUCAGUAUUGUCCAUAGAAUGUGAAGUGUAAGAAAUAGAAACAUCUUUCGGCUCAUUGGUCAUGUCAUUCAAAUUUCCUGGUUCCAUAGUAGGGGACACAUUUAAUUCAGUCCUUGAUGAUCACUAGCAUCACCUAUGGGUUCUGGACUUGUUUAUUCUUUUUCUGUUUUGAGUGUUAGAAUUCAAUAUAAAAGGUGUUUAAUAAUCUUACACUUAAUGAAAAGGUGCUAAAUAAUCUCAGGUUCCUUCUACAUAACACUCAUUCAGGUCACUUUGUAUUCCCCAUUUCAACUACCUAUGUAAGUCUUAAGUGUAUACUGAUCGAAAGCUUUCAAUAAUUGAACAUUUAGAAGCUUAAAUAUGUAAGUAGGAACUACAAAAUCAUAUGUGGUUUCUGUAAUUUCUCCUUGAAUUUAAAUAUCUUGAACAACCUUUCAUAGAAUAUUCUUUACUAUGCAAGCUAUAUACCUUAAUGGUUUCUUUCUAACUAUAAAAUUGAAGAUAUAAUUUGCUAGUAAGAUAAUUAAGAAUUUAACUUAAAUAAAACUGCUUGUAGAAUAUAUAUUUGUUUAUAGCAUAACUAACCUCCACACCAUCCCGUAUACUUUCUAUAUAUCCUUAUGCAUCAUAAAAGUUUUGACCAAAUGAUAGAAGUAAACUUGAACUUUUAGAAAAGGUUCUCAAUUGUCUAAGGUUUUUGCUACAUAACAUACAUUCAGGUCACAAUCAUGUUAGUUUUGUACACUCCACUUUAGCCAUUUACGUAAGCCUUAAGUGUAUUACAAUUAGAAUCUCUUUAUACUUAACUAGCAAAUGCUUAAAUCUGAAAAUAUGAGCUACUACAAACUGCCUGUAGGUUCUGCAACUUGUUCUUGAACAUGAAUAUUUUGAGCAACCCGUCUUAUAAUAUUCUUUACUUUACAAGCUUUAACUUGAUGGUUCCUUUGAACAAUAAAUGGUAGACAAUUUGUUACUAAUAUAAUUAAGAUUUCAGCUUAACUAAAACUUAUUCUAGAAUUUUGUAGAGCCCAACUAUCUUUAUUAAACCAGCCCAUAGACAUUUGGGAAAUCCUUAGGCAUCUUAGAAAAGUCAAUACCAAAUAAUACUAUCAAAUUGACAUCUAAAGAAAAGGUUCUCAAUUGUCUCAGGUUCGUGCUGCAUAACACAUAAUCUAGUCACUUUUGUACCCCAUUUGAGUGACCUACGGUAAUCCUUAAGAGUAUUGCUAACCUCGGAGUAUAAGCUAGUUAGGACAUCAGAGAUUAUUAUAGACAAGGUUCCUCCAUGGAACCUUGAGAAAGAUUCCAUCUCAUUCUCAUGUAAAUAGACUCGAUGGAGAAGUUCUUCAUGUGUGUUGAGCUGAUUCAUUAUUUGGAUAAAUUAGUAUCAACUUUCUCUUUGAUAAUUUUUAUCGUUAAAAUGACAUCUUGUGAGUUAUGCAAUUACGUAUUGAUUAAUUCCAUUAUUUUUUACUAAUGUAUCCUUAGUUCUUAUAGUAACUGUUGAAAGAAAGAAUAUCUUCAACUUUAUGGAUGACUUGGGUUUCACAGUUGAAAAAUUUAACGCUUGGCUGAUUAUGGCAACCGAGAUCGUCAUGAACCUUUUGUUUUUGCAAAACAAGUUCAACAAGUAAUAUUUGUAUAAGAUCGUCAAGAACAUGAAUGGUUUGUCCCUAGAUUAACUAGACCUCGAGAUGUUUUUGAUAUGUGAGAGGAAAAUAGUGUGCAACUCGAGUCAUCAAUGCAAAAUGAUUCUACUGACUUGGGUAUCUUAGAAAAUUUCCAUGUUUCAGAUUGAGAAUAAUGAUUGGGUAAGGAGUGGAGUUGAUAUAACUGUUGAUAUUAGUGUUCUAAAUUCUGAAGCUACUCUGUCUACAGCGCGUCUUAUCCUUUCUCUAUUUUAGACUAUUGCAUCUCCAUGAAUGGCAACCAUUUAGGAUGGAUAACUAUUCUUUAUAAUCCAUCUAUAUCGUGCAGCCAUGAAGUAGCCCAUCGAACCAAAAACUUCUCCCUCUAGGCAUGUAGCGUAGUUUGUUUUAUAUGUAGGUUUUGCUGGUAUAGUUGCGUAUUGGCAUUGGUAAGGACUAGUCCAAUGCAAUUUCAUCAUAUGCAAUCGCUCACCCCUUAUUGAAAUUUCAGUAUUAUCCACAGUAGCUGAAGUAUUAGAAACUGAAACAUCUUUCUGCUCAUUAGUCCUUACAUUCAAAUAAUUGGUUAUGGACUAAUGACUUUUACUACAUCUAGUUGCUGUUCUUCAUCCUUAUUACUUCUGUUGACUGGAACUGGACUAUGCACUUCUUUUACUCAUCUGCCUGCUUCUCCUCAUCCUUACUACUAAGCUGACUAUUUGUGGAAACAUCUUAGUGGAAUCAGUCCUUAGUUUUAUCACAAAGUCAUUGGCAUUGUCUCCAGCCCCUGUAAUGUAGUUAGUCUGAUCCAUAUGUGUUAUUUGUAUAGCUGAUAUUAGUGAUAUCAUAUAAAGACAUGAAAUAACUUUAUAUCAUAAUAUACACAGGAGAUCCAAGUGGCUUUAGAUCCUUGAGUAGUUUUUUAUGAGAUGACAUAAUUCCCAUCUCUUGAUGUUUUUAUCAAUGUGAUUUCAUCUUUUGACACAUUUAUUUUAUUAUUUUCAGGUCAUACGGUAUGAUGUUCACAAAUUUUACUUAUAAAAUAUUUUAGUACGUCGAACCAUCAUGGAAAUUCUUUAAAGACAUUAUUUUAUUGGAUUGGUUAUACAAUGAUAUUAGAUAUUUCAUUCAAAUAAGUUUAGUUUUAAAAUUGUGAUACUAUAGUUUGGAUUCAUACUUUCUUUUGUUUCUCUAGGAUUAUGAGAUAUAUUAUGUUAUCUGAAUUUUAUUAUAUAUUUUCUAGCAUUUGACAAACUUCAUUGUCCUAUAAUAAGCUCUAUUUUGAUUAGAAUAUUGGAUUUACGAGUGGAUGUAGUCAUUACUAAUUGUGGCUAACAAUUGGUCACUAAAGUUUGACUUUAAGCAUCAAACUAAAUGAAUUUUCUAGCCACAAAAAUUAGGAUAUUCUAGCCUUUGUAAUUGCCACCAAAAUAUUGUCGUUAAAGAUUUGAACUUUUAGCGGCAAUUUUAUUAAAUUUAUCGACUUUAAUAAUGGAUGUUAUAUAAGCGUGAUUGUCGUUUAAAUUUGAUUUAACAACUAUUUUAAUUGCCACUAGAACUAAUGCAUUUUAGUGGCAAUUAAGUAGGAUUUGCCAGCUAUAAAAAUGGACACUAAACAAGCAUAACUAACUAUUUUUAUUGGAUUUAACAACCAUCUAAAUUGCCGCAACCAAUUAUCGCUAGAACAAAUGUGUUUUAG